rnacentral:rRNA from 1 species
AUUGAACGCUGGCGGCAUGCCUUACACAUGCAAGUCGAACGGCAGCACGGGAGCAAUCCUGGUGGCGAGUGGCGAACGGGUGAGUAAAGUAUCGGAACGUGCCCAGUCGUGGGGGAUGACGUAGCGAAAGUUACGCUAAUACCGCAUACGAUCUAUGGAUGAAAGCGGGGGAUCGCAGGACCUCGCGCGAUUGGAGCGGCCGAUAUCAGAUUAGGUAGUUGGUGCGGUAAAGGCCCACCAAGCCGACGAUCUGUAGCUGGUCUGAGAGGACGACCAGCCACACUGGGACUGAGACACGGCCCAGACUCCUACGGGAGGCAGCAGUGGGGAAUUUUGGACAAUGGGCGAAAGCCUGAUCCAGCCAUGCCGCGUGCAGGAUGAAGGCCUUCGGGUUGUAAACUGCUUUUGUACGGAACGAAAAGGACUGCCCUAAUACGGUGGUCCCAUGACGGUACCGUAAGAAUAAGCACCGGCUAACUACGUGCCAGCCGCCGCCGUAAAAC